rnacentral:lncRNA from 1 species
CAUGUUUUUGCAAGACCGCUCUCCUCCUUUUCCCACGUUUAAAUGCUGCUGUCUUCAGUGCUCCAUCUAAAUUUAAAACAACAAAAAACUUGUUAUUGAUUCUUUGUGAUUUCACAUCAUGCACCCAAUCCCACUCAUCUCCCCAUCCCUCCAUAUCUGCCCUCCACCUUUCAACCCCUCCCCCCCAAAAGAAAACAACAACAAAAAUUUCUCUGUGGAACUGGUGUGUCAUGGAAUGGGGUCCCCUGGAUACUAGGGUCAGGGAAACCACUGUCACUGUGGAAGAAGGAAUGUGCCAGGGCUAGACAGAUGAUUGGGCAGUGAAGAGAGUGCAGUGUCCCAUAGAAGAUGCAGGCUUGAUUUCCAGCACCCUGACUCCAGCUUCAGGGGGAUCUAAAGCUCUCUUCUGGUCUCUGCUGUCACAUAUCCACUCUCAGAAACACACGAAUAUACACAUAACUAAAACAAAUCUCUAUCUUUAAGUAAUAUGCCGAGGCAGAAAUGGUGAAGGAUUUGUAUUAAGAGUAUAUUAAGCAAACAUGGUUUAAAACAGCCCCCACUCUGGAUAGCUGGCUGGCGUUUAGGUGAGUUCGUUUUUAAAC